GUUAUUAUAGUGUAAAAAACACAUUACAUUUUCACUGUAAAAAUAAAGAUUUUCUUUUAAAAACU
rnacentral:tRNA from 1 species